rnacentral:rRNA from 1 species
AUUGAACGCUGGCGGCAGGCCUAACACAUGCAAGUCGAGCGGAUGAAGGGAGCUUGCUCCUGGAUUCAGCGGCGGACGGGUGAGUAAUGCCUAGGAAUCUGCCUGGUAGUGGGGGAUAACGUCCGGAAACGGGCGCUAAUACCGCAUACGUCCUGAGGGAGAAAGUGGGGGAUCUUCGGACCUCACGCGAUCAGAUGAGCCUAGGUCGGAUUAGCGAGUUGGUGGGGUAAAGGCCUACCAAGGCGACGAUCCGUAACUGGUCUGAGAGGAUGAUCAGUCACACUGGAACUGAGACACGGUCCAGACUCCUACGGGAGGCAGCAGUGGGGAAUAUUGGACAAUGGGCGAAAGCCUGAUCCAGCCAUGCCGCGUGUGUGAAGAAGGUCUUCGGAUUGUAAAGCACUUUAAGUUGGGAGGAAGGGCAGUAAGUUAAUACCUUGCUGUUUUGACGUUACCAACAGAAUAAGCACCGGCUAACUUCGUG